GGUGGACAGGUGCGAGCAGGCUUCACUCCUCACUGUGUCUUCUGCUUCAGAAAGCGUCGGCUACUGGUGAUGUGUUCAGGGUCUCGUCCAGUCUCAGCUGUCAGAACAUCCCACCCCAGGAGGAUAGGUGGUAUAGAUGAUGGAUGAAUGGACGAUCUUCACAUUGAGGGGCGGAGGGACACAGUGGCACUACCAAGGAGUCCCUGCAACAGAGCAACACACAAGAAGGUGUGGAGGGGCCUGAAAACCAUGUCUGGCCAGUGGGGAGAUAGUAAGAGGGACCCUGAAUCUGGAGACCUGGAGCAGGCAAAUGAUCUCAAUCUAGAUCAUUAAAUCCGGCUUUUGUGUAAUGGUGUAUAAAAAGGAUGGGUUACAUGCAG